AACGAACGCUGGCGGCAUGCCUAACACAUGCAAGUCGAACGAGAACUUCGGGUCUAGUGGCGCACGGGUGCGUAACGCGUGGGAACCUGCCCUUAGGUUCGGAAUAACUCCCCGAAAGGGGUGCUAAUACCGGAUAAUGUCUUCGGACCAAAGAUUUAUCGCCUUUGGAUGGGCCCGCGUUGGAUUAGCUUGUUGGUAGGGUAAAAGCCUACCAAGGCGACGAUCCAUAGCUGGUCUGAGAGGAUGAUCAGCCACACUGGGACUGAGACACGGCCCAGACUCCUACGGGAGGCAGCAGUGGGGAAUAUUGGACAAUGGGCGAAAGCCUGAUCCAGCAAUGCCGCGUGAGUGAUGAAGGCCUGAGGGUUGUAAAGCUCGUUUACCCGGGAUGAUAAUGACAGUACCGGGAGAAUAAGCUCCGGCUAACUCCGUG
rnacentral:rRNA from 1 species